UUUGUGUUUUGAAGAUUAAUGUCUUACGGGUCUGAAACGGCAUGAGGGUGAGUAAUAAAUGACAGAAUUUUCAUUUUUGGGUGAACUAACCCUUUAAAAGGCUCAGGAGGACAAACAGCUGCCAGAGGAGGAUGAUGAUGGCAGUGGUGACCGAGGUGACUGUGCAGCUCAGGAUGAAGAAGAGGAGGAACAUCUUCCAGUUUGCAAAAAUCCAAAGUGAAUAUAUAGAGACCAUCCUCCUAUCCUUGCCUCAGAAGAACCUGAGAAAGACCCUCUUCCUCUUCUCUCACAGCUCUCCAUCAUCUACCUCUACAACACUGUUGGCAAGAGUGUUAUACACAGCUGAGGACACGGUAAUGAGAGAUCUCAAAUUCUUCCUCAAAGUCCGCAUGUUCAUUUUCUUGAACAAAAACUGUACAUGUAUUUUUGGGUGGGCCAAACUAUUAUUUGAAGAAAUGCUAAAAAUCUCUAUAUUGUUCUUUGUACAUAUCUUUUACUCUUUAUGAAUGUCAUCUUCUGGAUUUUUUUUUUUAGCUUUUGAGAAGCUCAAGGACUGUAUAUCUUUGGUAAUUGUGAUAUUGUCUGGCAGUAAAGCAGUAUUAAAGCACAUUACCUCAGUAUAUUUGUAGCAGCUGCCUCAUACAGGACACUUAGGAAAUGGUUUAAUAUAUAUUUUUUGCAAAUAAAGUAAUAAAAUAUCUGCUGAA